AUCCCGGUGGGAAAAGGGCACCAGCGCGGCUGCUGCUGCCUCAGCGCCGCUGGGCUGGGGCUGGGGCUGGGCCGGCAGUUCCCGGUGCCUCAGUGUGAAAAGUGCGUGUUUUAUGGCUGGCUUUUCGCAAAUAUGAAAAUGAAUAUUGCAUGUGUUAUGUUAGAAAGUUGUGCUGCGUUAGCAUUUCAGCAGUAUGGUAACUGCGGUUCCACAGUUAAAAGGAGGAGGAGACAGCUGGUGGGCUGCUGGUUUGCCCGGUGUCGCUGCAGAGGUGGCACUGCCACCCUCCAUCCUCUGUCACCUCUGGAAAUCUGUAAAUGCUGGGGUCAGAAAUA